GAUGAACGCUGGCGGCGUGCUUAACACAUGCAAGUCGAACGGAAAGGCCCAAGCUUGCUUGGGUACUCGAGUGGCGAACGGGUGAGUAACACGUGGGUGAUCUGCCCUGCACUUCGGGAUAAGACUGGGAAACUGGGUCUAAUACCGGAUAGGACCACAUUAUGGAUGGUGUGGUGGAAAGAUUUUCGGUGUGGGAGGAGCUCGCGGGCUAUCAGCUUGUUGGUGGGGUAAUGGCCUACCAAGGCGUCGACGGGUAGCCGGCCUGAGAGGGUGUACGGCCACCUUGGGACUUAGGUACGGCCCAGGCUCCUACGGGAGGCCGCAGUGGGGAAUCUUGCCCAAUGGGCGCCAGCCUGAUGCAGCGACGCCGCGUGUCGUAUGACGGCCUUCUUGUUGUAAACUCCUUUCGCUAGGGACGAAGCGUUAUGUGACGGUACCUGGUGAAGAAGCACCGGCUAACUACGUG
rnacentral:rRNA from 1 species